UACGUAGGCAGCGAGCGUUGUUCGGAGUUACUGGGCGUAAAGCGUGCGUAGGCGGUUUUGUAAGUUUGGUGUGAAAUCUCCCGGCUCAACUGGGAGGGUGCGCCGAAAACUGCAAGGCUGGAGUGUGGGAGAGGUAGGCGGAAUUCCUGGUGUAGCGGUGAAAUGCGUAGAUAUCAGGAGGAACACCUGUGGUGUAGACGGCUUACUGGACCAUGACUGACGCUGAGGCACGAAAGCGUGGGGAUCAAACAGG
rnacentral:rRNA from 1 species